UCGAAAGUAUGAAAUGUAAACAUUAUGGCGUGCUAUCAAAAUUGUGUUUUAAGUGUUUCAGGAUCAAAAACGAGUAAAAUAAUUGGAUACUGUUAAUAUUGUAAGGGAUAUGUGUGUGAUAUAUGCUAUCAAACUCAUACAAAGGCAAAGGCAUUCAGACAACACUCUAUAGAUAAGGGUACCAUUGCAAAACAAAGCGCCGAUAAAGAGGUGGCAUCGCUUGAAAAUAUAGACAUUCACGAACAGAUCUGCAAGCAGCACAGUAAUGAGAAGACUUCUUUGUUUUGCAGAACGCACAUGGUGGUGAUAUGUGGACGAUGUUUAAUGCAAACACACUUGAACUGCGAAAAACAGUUGGUUGACCUCACUGAAGUUUCGCAUCCGAGCUUAGACCAUCUGAACCAAAUCAUACAUUAGUUAGAGGAAAUAUUGAGUGACGCACAAUGCCUCGAACAGAAGGUUAGUGUCAGAAAAGAGAAUACCAAUUCAGCAAAAGAAGAGAAUUUAAAGGUUUAGGGGACUUUCGAAAAGACAAGUAUUUUUAAAAGGUUACAAAAUGAUGUAGAAAAUAAGAUAACACAGAUUUAUGUGAAAAUGAAAGCAUAUUAACAUCACAACUUAAGACAUGCUUAGAUGUAAAGGACACAGCGCUGCUGAAACAAAAGAAAAAUGAUUUCAUAGUCCAGAAAAAUCUAAAGAGCACUAAUUAUGUUACAACUGAGACCUUUGGAACUGAAAUAUCAACGCUGGAACAAACUCUUAACGAAGCUUCAAGAAAUUUCAUUGGUCCACUGUACGAAUUCCAGAAAAAUGAUGUCGUUCGAAACCUGAUAUUGACGGAAAAUGUAUAUGGCACACUAGAAGAAGUUCAUACCGGAAACGAUGAGCUUACGCAAACUAUAACACGCGAACAAAAGCAUUUGCAGAUUGUAGUUCCUAUACAAGAAGACACGAAGCAUUCUAAACAAGCUUACACCGCAGAACUUCAGGGUACUCGUGUCACAAAUGCAAACCCUCAGAGAGUAAACAGAACGGAGUCGUUGAUCUAGUCUUUGAGAAGGCCAUAAGUGAACCUAACUUUAGUGUAGUCUACGCCAACAUGUGUAGAUGUCUUUCAAUGGUUAAAGUCCAUUCCGGCUCAAAAAUAAAGGAGAUAAUUACUUUUCGAGACGUGUUGCUGACGCGAUGUCAACGUGAAUUCGAAAAAGACAACUCGUCAAAUCCCGACCUCGUCAACAAACGCGCGGAAAUUGCUAAAUGUGAAGAUGUUAGUUAAUAUGGACGACAUUAAGAGUUAGGCUCAAGCCAUAUGUUCUUUAUAUCAUUGUAAUGUCACAUUAAACACUUGUCAGAUAAAGAUGAAUGGAAACAAAUCGCUGUUGCAUUCAAAGUUAGUUUAACAGAAAUCUGAAAUAAACUCGUUUCUCUAAAAAUAUAUAUUUGGACAAAUAAAACCCUGCAAUGCGAUGUGUUUACUUUUCAAACACGAGUGAAAUAUAUGCUUGUUCUUUAGGCUCGAUUUAAUGUUUGUCUGCGUUUAAAAUUAUUUGCCAUAACUCAAACUAUUGCUGUGUUGAAACGAAACCUGACAAAUGGUUUUCCAUCGAUUUCGUCCACAACAAUUAACAACAAGUAACAAAGAGUAAAAUUCUUAUUUCAAAGGCGUUUUAAAAUGUAGUUCAACUAUUUAAAUAAAUAAAAUAGUAAAACAUAAACUAAACAAAACGUAAAGAAAAAAUAUGUUCAAGAUGUAAAUUUAAAUUUUGGUACAUGCGUGACCAGAGGCGUCCAUAACUCUUAUAUUAAUAAUUAUCGAGUUAUGAACUUUCUUCAACGAAACAAAAACUCCGAUCCGGUCUCAUUGGCUAAGUCAUAUAUGUAUAAACGCACAUUGUAUAUGACGAACGCAUGAACGGAAACCAUUUAACUGCGCAUUCUAUUUUUUAAAAUAAUAGUUUGGCUCGAUUUCAGGAAGGUAAAAUGGAAGAAUUAAAACACGAAUUAACUUAUAAUGAAGCCAAGGCACAACAAAGAUCUCUCGGAAAUAUUAGAUUCGUCAGUGAAUUAUUCUAGUUAAAAAUGGUGACUGAAAAAAUUAUGCAUGAUUGUGUGUUUAGAUUACUACGGGAUAAAAACUGUGAGAGUUAUGAGUGUGUGUGUGGGCUACUGCACUCUGUAUGGAAAAGAACUGGAUACUGACAGAGCCAAGCCCCGUAUGGAUCAGUAUUUCCAACAGAUGUCAAAAAUAGCUAACGAUAAACGUACCUCCGCAAGAGUUAGAUAUAUGCUUCAGGCCGUUAUGGUUAAUAGAUCAAACAAGUGGAUAUCUCGAUGCUCAGAAAACAUACCUAAAACCAUCACCCAGAUCCACAAGGAAUUCGCACAGGAACGGCAGGAGGAGGCCCUUCUGUCUCAACAAUUCAAGCAACAUCAGGAGUCUUGGAAUUAUGAGCGACUAUCAAGGAGACUCCAAAUAUGGUGCUAGUGACCUCCUACAGAAGCGGAAAGUGAUAAAACACAACUUGAUAUUCGACGCUAGUGGCGUCAUAUUGGUAUUGGAACACAGUGUGUCUAUCAAGUUUCAGUGUUCAGUGCAUGACUUUAAAUGUCUGUCUUUAUUCCGGGAAGAUUUUAUAGAAUAGAGUCAUAGUAUAAGCUUCAAAGCUGUUGUCAUGGUUUUGUAUUAAGCAUUUAAUUUGAUUACUUUUUACUGUACUAUUGUAACAUAAUUUCGUAUGCUUUCUAAACUUGUAAUUGUUAUAUUGAUAUAAAUAUAUAACGGGUUGACCAAAUCUUGCUGACAAGUAUAACAGUAUUGUUGUAAUAAAUAAGACAUAAAAAUUCGAUACUUUUAUACCGAGAUACAUAUCGGCACGUAUUUAUAUCAGUAUAAUUAUAUAAAUUCUGUCACACAACACAUAUUAUGAUUCAUUUAGCUCACCUGAGUAUGAGAACACUCAUGAAUGAAAUGAUCAAUGUUAAUUGAAAUAAAAGGUCGU